CCAGACUCCUACGGGAGGCAGCAGUGAGGAAUAUUGGUCAAUGGCCGGGAGGCUGAACCAGCCAAGUCGCGUGAGGGAAGACGGCCCUACGGGUUGUAAACCUCUUUUGUCGGGGAGCAAAGCGAGUCACGUGUGACUCAUUGAGAGUACCCGAAGAAAAAGCAUCGGCUAACUCCGUGCCAGCAGCCGCGGUAAUACGGAGGAUGCGAGCGUUAUCCGGAUUUAUUGGGUUUAAAGGGUGCGUAGGCGGGAUGUUAAGCGGGGGGUAAAAGCCCGGGGCUCAACCCCGGCGAGCCGUUGAAACUGGCUGUCUUGAGAUGUCGAGAGGUAUGCGGAAUGCGUGGUGUAGCGGUGAAAUGCAUAGAUAUCACGCAGAACUCCGAUUGCGAAGGCAGCAUACCGGCGCCCAACUGACGCUGAAGCACGAAAGCGUGGGUAUCGAACAGGAUUAGAUACCCGCGUACA
rnacentral:rRNA from 1 species